rnacentral:tRNA from 1 species
GCCUGGGUGGCUCAUUUGGUUGAGCAUCUGACUUCAGCUCAGGUCAUGAUCUCAUGGUUUGUGAGUUCAAGCCCCACAUCAGGCU